rnacentral:rRNA from 1 species
GUGUUUAUUUACCUUGUUGCUUCGGCGGGCCCGCCUUAACUGGCCGCCGGGGGGCUCACGCCCCCGGGCCCGCGCCCGCCGAAGACACCCUCGAACUCUGUCUGAAGAUUGUAGUCUGAGUGAAAAUAUAAAUUAUUUAAAACUUUCAACAACGGAUCUCUUGGUUCCGGCAUCGAUGAAGAACGCAGCGAAAUGCGAUACGUAAUGUGAAUUGCAAAUUCAGUGAAUCAUCGAGUCUUUGAACGCACAUUGCGCCCCCUGGUAUUCCGGGGGGCAUGCCUGUCCGAGCGUCAUUGCUGCCCUCAAGCACGGCUUGUGUGUUGGGCCCCGUCCUCCGAUUCCGGGGGACGGGCCCGAAAGGCAGCGGCGGCACCGCGUCCGGUCCUCGAGCGUAUGGGGCUUUGUCACCCGCUCUGUAGGCCCGGCCGGCGCUUGCCGAUCAACCCAAAUUUUUAUCCAGGUUGACCUCGGAUCAGGUAGGGAUACCCGCUGAACUUA